AUUGAACGCUGGCGGCAUGCUUUACACAUGCAAGUCGAACGGUAACAGGCCGCAAGGUGCUGACGAGCGGUGAACGGGGGCGUAAUGCAAAGGAACGUGUCCCGUCGUGGGGGAUAACUACUCGCAAGAGUAGCUAAUACCUCAUACGAUCUAAGGUAGUAAACGGGGGACCGCAAUGGCUCGCGCGGUUUGUGCGGUCGCUGUCAGAUUAGGUAGUUGGUGGGGUAAAGGCUCACCAAGCCAACGAUCUGUAGCUGGCCUGAGAGGACGACCAGCCACACUGGAACUGAGACACGGCCCAGACUCCUACGGGAGGCAGCAGUGGGGAAUUUUGGACAAUGGGCGCAAGCCUGAUCCAGCAAUGCCGCGUGCAGGAUGAAGGCCUUCGGGUUGUAAAAUGCUUUUGUACGGGAAGAAACGGCUCUGGUGAAUACCCGCGGCUAAUGACGGUACCGUAAGAAUAAGCACCGGCUAACUACGUG
rnacentral:rRNA from 1 species